rnacentral:tRNA from 1 species
UCCUCAAUAGCUCAGUUGGCAGAGCAUGCGGCUGUUAACCGCAGGGUCGUAGGUUCAAGUCCUACUUGAGGAGCCA